rnacentral:rRNA from 1 species
CAAGACCUUGCGCUUUUGGAGCGGCCGAUGUCUGAUUAGCUAGUUGGUGGGGUAAAGGCCUACCAAGGCUACGAUCAGUAGCUGGUCUGAGAGGACGAUCAGCCACACUGGGACUGAGACACGGCCCAGACUCCUACGGGAGGCAGCAGUGGGGAAUUUUGGACAAUGGGGGCAACCCUGAUCCAGCCAUGCCGCGUGAGUGAAGAAGGCCUUCGGGUUGUAAAGCUCUUUCAGCCGGAACGAAACGGUUACGGUUAAUACCCGUGACUAAUGACGGUACCGGAAGAAGAAGCACCGGCUAACUACGUGCCAGCAGCCGCGGUAAUACGUAGGGUGCGAGCGUUAAUCGGAAUUACUGGGCGUAAAGCGUGCGCAGGCGGUUUUGUAAGUCAGAUGU